CCUACGGGGUGCAGCAGUGGGGAAUAUUGGGCAAUGGACGCAAGCCUGACCCAGCAACGCCGCGUGAAGGAAGAAGGCUUUCGGGUUGUAAACUUCUUUUCUCAGGGACGAAGCAAGUGACGGUACCUGAGGAAUAAGCCACGGCUAACUACGUGCCAGCAGCCGCGGUAAUACGUAGGUGGCAAGCGUUAUCCGGAUUUACUGGGUGUAAAGGGCGUGUAGGCGGGACUGCAAGUCAGAUGUGAAAACCAUGGGCUCAACCUAUGGCCUGCAUUUGAAACUGUAGUUCUGGAGUACUGGAGAGGCAGACGGAAUUCCUGGUGUAGCGGUGAAAUGCGUAGAUAUAAGGAAGAACACCAGUGGCGAAGGCGGAUGGCUGGACGGCAACUGACGGUGAGGCGCGAAAGCGUGGGGAGCAAACAGGAUUAGAUACCCCAGUAGUC
rnacentral:rRNA from 1 species